rnacentral:lncRNA from 7 species
GGCGGGGCCUGGAGGCGGCGGGGCCGUCGGCGCCCGGCGGCGGGGGCCGCCCGUCGAGGGAGAUGCUGUAUAGUCAGUGCAAAGUCCUGUUGCAACGCAAGGGUGAAGAGCAAGUGUGGAAGGCCACAGAAGCUGAAGCUGUGCUGCUGGAUGGCUUGCCUCCUCCAACUGAAAAACGUCGCUCCGUAGAGUUGAAAACUUUGCCUGGAGCUUUAGUCAGAGACGGGAUUUGUAUUGAAUUGAGAGUUAACUCUGUGAGACCAACUGGUCCUGAGUCACCAACGUACGUGCCAACAGUAGCCAGUGAACGUAAAACCAAAUUCUCGCAUGGUGAUUAUAAAGUGGGAGAGAUUUGUGAUUGCCUGACAUUACGGUUGGAGCAGCGUGAGCAAGAGCCCGUGUGUAACUGCCAGGAUGAGCAGAAGUGGAUACCCACAGCGAAGGUGAAACGUUGCCUGCACGGAUCAGCUGACAUGCAGAUCACAAAGGCACAGAACCUCAUUAUUUAAGAGGUCAGAGGUGUGGCAUGUGCGGUGUUGAUGUGCCUGUUGCACUGCCUUGAACGGUUCCUGAGAUCACCGGAAGGCGAGCAGUGGGCGGCACGGCCAGUUGGAUAGAUACUUGUAUCUUAAAGAAAUUAGGGCACUCUAAUUAAGUGGUGAGACCUGGAAUCCAUAUCAUUACUCUGACUCACAGUACCUUUAGGUGAGGCUGGUGGCAACAGCUUUUUAUUAAGAUGACUUAACAUUUCCCAGUGUAAGACCGUGGUGUUCUCUUUGUUAGGUCCUCUUUAGGCCUAACAUUUUGUCAGGAAACUUUGGUCAAAAUCAUGAUGGCAGCUCAAAGAGCAGGAACAAGAAAAGCACGUUGCUUCUCCCAUGUUAGAAAUUCUUCUGACCUUUCCUUUGAAAUACCCAAGCAUGCCUGCACUGAAACAAGAAUCUGGGAGGGGGCUUUUGUGUCUGAGGUGGGGCCGGGAAAGGAGGAAGGAAUGCCCUUCCUAGCAAAAUGCACCCACCUCUGUCCAGUUUUAAGCCUUUGAAUCAUGUAAUGUGCCCAUGGUUCUAACUAGAGACUUCUUACUGCUUAGCUGCUAAAGCUGCCAGAAGUUAUGCCUUCCUUGAGCAAAUUUCAGCCUUCUAAAGCAGCUGAGAGCAUCCGGACCCCAGGCCUACAAGGGAUGUUCCCAGCUGCUCUGGGCUGUGGCAGAGGCAGCUGCUGAAAUGCAGGUUCAUGGCAUGCAAGCGGUGUGGAGGAGCGAACCAUAUGUUUGAGCGCACAGAGGGAAGGAGCUGCGUGAGAAAGAAACACCAUCCUCCCUUCUGAUGAAUGCACAGCAAGGGGGCUGAGGAGCUGCACGCUCAGUCUGAAUUUUCCUUCCCCACUCCUUGGAUGCUUGAAUUUUUAAGGUUACUCCUUCAUCUUAGGCUGGAUUUGAGGAUUUUCGUUGCUGUGGUUGUUUGUUUGCUGUCUCUUAAAGACCUGUCUUAAAGACAGGACUUCUGUUUUUCUCGUUGCUGCUAAAAUGCUGUCCCAUACUGCAAUGAGCUUGCAGAUAAAUAGACAAAACAAGGAAGGUGGCCACGUCCAAACUGCAACUGGAACGUAGCAGUUCCUGGCUCCUCUUUGAGUGAUUAAAUGGGAACAGGGCCACAUAGCUCCUCCCUUCUCUUGGAAAACAAAAACUGUGGACACUUGUAGAGAAAACAUCCCCAAUCUCUGUCCUUGUCUCGCUGAAGUUUUCUUCUGUGGAAUCAGAAAUGUCUUCGCAGUAUCACAAUAAGUUAACGUGGAGUAGUCUUUAUUCAGAUGAGCAAAUGUCCUGUGAUCCUGGCAAUCUCCUUAAGCAGCAGCAUAAAUAAAAGGCAACUUGCAGUAGCAGU